GCGGGGCGCGGAGCGCAGCGGCGGGGCGGGGGGCGGGCGCGGGGCGGGGGGCGGGCGGGAGGAGGUGGAAUUGCAUUUCUGCCGCUAAAGCGUUCGCGGAGACUUCAAGGUAUAAUCUAUCCCAGAUCCUUUCCCAGAGAGAAACUUGGCGAUCACGUUUCCACAUGAUGCUCACGUUUGGUGCUCUCCAAUUAUCCCUCCCCACAAAGAUAGGUGGCGUGUGUUGCAGGGUCUCUCCUCUCGCUCGUACAGAAAAGAAAAAGAAAAAAAUGUCAUUAGAAGAGGCGUAACACGUCAGUCCGUCCCCAGGUUUGUGUUUCCUGGAGUGGCAGAAAGAGAUCAGUCCUAACCUGCCCAGCAGGAAUAACGGUCCUUCCGACAACUCUUUGCAAGGCUUUUUACAAUUUCUCCAGGAGCUGCAUCUCCCUUCACCUUUUCUCCUCCACUUCGCGGCUUCUUCAUGCUUUUUCUUGUCACCAUUUCUGGCCAAAACUACAAACAAGACUUCGCAGAGCCUGCGUGCUGCUGCUGCUGCUGCUGAAUCAGGGAGUCGAGCCCAUGCGAACUGCCAUCUGAUCCACUCUUAUCAAUGAAGCAGCAGAUCAUGGCGGAUGGCCCCAGGUGUAAGAGGCGAAAACAAGCCAACCCCCGGAGGAAAAACGGGACUCGAAAAUGAAACUUCCUCCUCCCUGAUAAUUAAUAAUACUAAUGAGCUCGGUGCCCGAUUGUCCGCCGCUGCCCUCUCCCCCGGUCCCCGCCGGCCGCGCAGGGCCGGGGCGCAGUGGGACGCGGUGUUCUGGGCUGAUUUCACAUUUGGCAGCUUUCACUGGUGUGAUGGGUCUCUCUUUCUCCGUCUCUCCCCGUCCCUCCCUUAGUUUCUUCCUUUCUCCCCCGGCUGAUAGCCGCUCCCCCGCCGCCAGCCUCCCCCUCCCCGCCCGCAGCCCCUCGCAUGGCCAUCCCGGCCCCACUUCCAACAACUUUCCUCUCGAGGAGCCAGAGGAAGGAAGAUAUUUGUGUGAACCUGAACCCAUGCGCUUAUAGCUCAGCUACUUCAUUUAAGUGGAGAGGUGGAGGGGGGCUGAAGGAGGAGGGGGACACACACACAACAACAACAACAACAACAAAAAACACAAAGACAAGAGAAUGUUGAUUAGAAACAAAUGAUCCUGCCCCCCCUUCCUCUCCCUCUCUAGGUUGUGUGAGUGUGAGUGUGUGUGUGUGUGUGUGCGUGUGUGUGUCUUUUUCUUGUUGUGGUGGAGGCGUCGAGCCAUAUGGGGGAGUGAUAGAGGAAUUUUAGUCAGAAACUGUUCGUUAUGUUACACUGGCUUUUCCCUUUGUGUUGUCUUUGAUCUAUUUGCUUGGCUUAGUAUUACAAAAAAAAAAAAAAAGGCACCAAAAACCUAAAAUAAUAUAUUCCGAGCAGCUUCCCAAGGAUCCGUUCCUUGUUAUCUUUUUUUAAAGUCUCUCCCCCUUCACCACCACCCUUUACUCUUGUGUCUGUCAUUAUUUAAGGUGGUCCUCACAGAGGAGACCUCCCCUUCCCCUCAUCUCUGGGUAAUUUAGUAGACAUUAAAAUUACACGUAAUGUUUCCCUCUCCUCUCUUGUGUUUCCUCUGUUCUUUUUAUUAAAUGUUGGUUAUUGAUUUUCUAAAA